GAUGAACGCUGGCGGCGUGCCUAAUACAUGCAAGUCGAGCGAACAGACGAGGAGCUUGCUCCUCUGACGUUAGCGGCGGACGGGUGAGUAACACGUGGAUAACCUACCUAUAAGACUGGGAUAACUUCGGGAAACCGGAGCUAAUACCGGAUAAUAUAUUGAACCGCAUGGUUCAAUAGUGAAAGACGGUUUUGCUGUCACUUAUAGAUGGAUCCGCGCCGCAUUAGCUAGUUGGUAAGGUAACGGCUUACCAAGGCAUCGAUGCGUAGCCGACCUGAGAGGGUGAUCGGCCGCACUGGAACUGAGACACGGUCCAGACUCCUACGGGAGGCAGCAGUAGGGAAUCUUCCGCAAUGGGCGAAAGCUUGACGGAGCAACGCCGCGUGAGUGAUGAAGGUCUUCGGAUCGUAAAACUCUGUUAUUAGGGAAGAACAAAUGUGUAAGUAACUAUGCACGUCUUGACGGUACCUAAUCAGAAAGCCACGGCUAACUACGUG
rnacentral:rRNA from 1 species